UGUGGGAGCGGGCUUGCCCGCGAUGACUGACUGACAUUCAACAGAAAUGUCGACUGUAAGACCGCUAUCGCGGGCAAGCCCGCUCCCACU
rnacentral:misc_RNA from 1 species